rnacentral:rRNA from 1 species
CACGUGAGAAAUCUGCCUUCAACACUGGGAUAACUCCGGGAAACCGGGGCUAAUACCGGAUAUGAAACCUGCGGGCAUCCGCGGGUUCGGAAAGUUUUUCGGUUGAAGAUGAUCUCGCGGCCUAUCAGCUUGUUGGUGAGGUAAUGGCUCACCAAGGUGACGACGGGUAGCCGGCCUGAGAGGGCGACCGGCCACACUGGGACUGAGACACGGCCCAGACUCCUACGGGAGGCAGCAGUGGGGAAUAUUGGGCAAUGGAGGAAACUCUGACCCAGCGACGCCGCGUGCGGGAUGAAGGCCUUCGGGUUGUAAACCGCUUUCAGCAGGGAAGAAGCGAAAGUGACGGUACCUGCAGAAGAAGCACCGGCUAACUAUGUGCCAGCAGCCGCGGUAAUACAUAGGGUGCAAGCGUUGUCCGGAAUUAUUGGGCGUAAAGAGCUCGUAGGUGGUUCGUCACGUCGGAUGUGAAACUCUGGGGCUUAACCCCAGACCUGCAUUCGAUACGGGCGAGCUUGAGUAUGGUAGGGGAGUCUGGAAUUCCUGGUGUAGCGGUGGAAUGCGCAGAUAUCAGGAGGAGCACCAAUGGCGAAGGCAGGACUCUGGGCCAUUACUGACACUGAGGAGCGAAAGCGUGGGGAGCGAACAGGAUUAGAUACCCUGGUAGUCCACGCCGUAAACGGUGGGCACUAGUUGUGGGGACCUUCCACGGUCUCUGCG